rnacentral:rRNA from 1 species
AGAGUUUGAUCAUGGCUCAGAUUGAACGCUGGCGGCAGGCUUAACACAUGCAAGUCGAGCGGGGGAAAGUAGCUUGCUACUGGACCUAGCGGCGGACGGGUGAGUAAUGCUUAGGAAUCUGCCUAUUAGUGGGGGACAACAUUCCGAAAGGAAUGCUAAUACCGCAUACGUCCUACGGGAGAAAGCAGGGGACCUUCGGGCCUUGCGCUAAUAGAUGAGCCUAAGUCGGAUUAGCUAGUUGGUGGGGUAAAGGCCUACCAAGGCGACGAUCUGUAGCGGGUCUGAGAGGAUGAUCCGCCACACUGGGACUGAGACACGGCCCAGACUCCUACGGGAGGCAGCAGUGGGGAAUAUUGGACAAUGGGGGGAACCCUGAUCCAGCCAUGGCCGCGUGUGUGAAGAAGGCCUUAUGGUUGUAAAGCACUUUAAGCGAGGAGGAGGCUACUAGUAUUAAUACUACUGGAUAGUGGACGUUACUCGCAGAAUAAGCACCGGCUAACUCUGUGCCAGCAGCCGCGGUAAUACAGAGGGUGCGAGCGUUAAUCGGAUUUACUGGGCGUAAAGCGUGCGUAGGCGGCCAUUUAAGUCAAAUGUGAAAUCCCCGAGCUUAACUUGGGAAUUGCAUUCGAUACUGGAUGGCUAGAGUAUGGGAGAGGAUGGUAGAAUUCCAGGUGUAGCGGUGAAAUGCGUAGAGAUCUGGAGGAAUACCGAUGGCGAAGGCAGCCAUCUGGCCUAAUACUGACGCUGAGGUACGAAAGCAUGGGGAGCAAACAGGAUUAGAUACCCUGGUAGUCCAUGCCGUAAACGAUGUCUACUAGCCGU